rnacentral:rRNA from 1 species
ACCCCGGCGAGGGGAGUGAAAAAGAACCUGAAACCGUGUACGUACAAGCAGUGGGAGCACGCUUAGGCGUGUGACUGCGUACCUUUUGUAUAAUGGGUCAGCGACUUAUAUUCUGUAGCAAGGUUAACCGAAUAGGGGAGCCGAAGGGAAACCGAGUCUUAACUGGGCGUUAAGUUGCAGGGUAUAGACCCGAAACCCGGUGAUCUAGCCAUGGGCAGGUUGAAGGUUGGGUAACACUAACUGGAGGACCGAACCGACUAAUGUUGAAAAAUUAGCGGAUGACUUGUGGCUGGGGGUGAAAGGCCAAUCAAACCGGGAGAUAGCUGGUUCUCCCCGAAAGCUAUUUAGGUAGCGCCUCGUGAAUUCAUCUCCGGGGGUAGAGCACUGUUUCGGCAAGGGGGUCAUCCCGACUUACCAACCCGAUGCAAACUGCGAAUACCGGAGAAUGUUAUCACGGGAGACACACGGCGGGUGCUAA